rnacentral:lncRNA from 1 species
AGAAAAGAAACUCCUGAGCCUGCUCCAGAGCUUCUGUUCAGCAGGCCUGAGGUGGGACCAUACACCUGUCUUUUCAGCAAGCCCCCCCCCACCUCUGAGGAUGCACCCCAAAGCUAGAGAAUUCCUGCUCUGAGCCAUCUCUGAAAGCACCAAGAGCCAGGGCCAGGGAAGCUGGGCUGGAGGAAGCUGUCUGGGAGCCCAGGAGGCAAGCAGAAAACCGCCAGGACCGCCCCACGCUGGGGGAGCAGCAGGCACGGCCCCUACCAACACCCCCUGGCACCUCGCAAAGCUAGAGCCCGCCCGGUCCCCUCCCCGGAGCGCCCUGGUCUUUGGUUCGUAUUCAGCACAUCUUCAGAAACAGUGAUAGAAAAAUGCUGGUUUCUGACUCCACCAGCUCACGGAGGAGAUGCCAGCUCACGGAGGAAAAUCUGGAAGGUGUUGAAGCAUAGACGCUGGAACAUAAAAUGACUCAUGAUCUCACUGGGAGAAGGGCUGGGAACAUCGUGGGCUCUCUUCUCCCCGCGCUCCUCUCUCCGGGUCUCUGUUUCCCUCAUUCCACGAUGUUUAGAACCAUCGGCGCACUACAUCAGACUAGAGGUCUGGGGUCACCCGACCAUCCCGCCACAAGCCCCUCCGAGGCAUCACUGUGUCCAGAUUUUGCAAACUGCACCUCCUGAAGGGGCUGGGGUCUGUCCACUUCGCCCCAUCUGCCGUGGCAGCACUUCCUCCGUGGUUCGCACCCCCACAGCAGCCUCCUGGGAAGGCACCUCCCUGGGGCCCCUCUCAGUCCACGGUGUGGAUAUGGUCAGGAAGAUUCCUGCAGCUGCUGAGUUAGUACUUUUAAGAAAGUACUGGAUUCCCUCUCACAAUGGGACUUUGAUUUUUUUAAGAAAAAGGUUUCAUAAGUUUUCAAAUAACCUGGAGCAGUUGAGCAAACUUAAUGUGCAGCGUGGUCCCUGCUGGCUGGGUUUGAGGGGCUGGGUCUCUCUGAGUGGAUGCUGGUGAGGUGCAGAGGAAGAAGAAAAGGUGCCUGAGGGCCUGUGUGGAAGGCCUGUCACACAGCACAUCCUGGGAAAUCUGUCCAGGAAGCAGCCAGGCGGGCAUCAGCCAGGCGGGCAUCAGCAUCUUCACUGUGCAGAUGAGAAACUGAGGCCGCAGAGGUGAAGGGACAUGCCCAGGAUCACUAAGGCAAGACGGGGGAAGAGCAGAGAUCUUGGGCAUGAUCUCGGCUCACUGCAACCUCCACCUCCCAGGUUCAAGGGAUUCUCCUGCUUCAGCCUCCCAAGGAGCUGGGAUUACAGGUGCCCGCCACCACGCCCGGCUAAUUUUUGUAUGUUUAGUAGAGACAGGGUUUCACCAUGUUGGCCAGGCUGGUCUCGAAUUCCUGAUCUCAAGUGAUCCGCCUUGCUCUGUCCCUUAGGGACCUCAGCUUAGUGUUCCACACACUGGCAGAUCGCCUCGUUCUUCUCAGGGCUCAGUGUUUUCCUGAGUCUGAACCACGAUCUGGGUAGCCAUCCCCUGGCGAGGACCAUUCGGGGUUCCAGCAGUCACAUGCCACGGUAAACAAGCUUCGUAAACAUCCCACGACAAAGGUGGGAGAGAAUCCCAGUAGGGACAAUGACUACAGGUGGAAUUGCUGGGAAAAAGUAUGUCGGUUUUAAGUGUUGAUAACUGGUCCUUUAUUGGUCGUGGUCAUUCAUUCUUCUGCCAGGCGGGGCUGGUGUUCCUAUAUCCUCUCCUCACCAACAGAGCGUCUUAUGUUUAUUUGUUGGCAACGUGGCAGGUGAAACAUGUACCCUGUCAUUAAAAAAAAUUAUACUUGGCUGGGCACGGUGGCUCACACCUGUAAUCCCAGAGCUUGGGAAGCUGAGGUGGGUGGAUUGCUUGAGGCCCGGAGCUCGAGGCUAGCUUGGGCAGCACAACGAGACCCUGUUUCUACAAAAAAUACAAAAAUUAGUGGGGUGUAGUAGUGCACGCCUGUAGUCCCAGCUACUGGGGAGGCUGAGGUGGGAGGAUCACUUGAGCCUGUCUCAGAACAAACAAACAAACAAACAAAAAUAAGAAAAAAAUACAUAGUUUUAAAACAGUUUUAAACACAUUUGGGAAAAUAUAGGCAGUAGAAAUAGCAGUUGUGCUGUUAAUGCCUCAGACAGGGCUGGGCUCGUAGUAGGUGCUCAAUAAAUAUGUAUUAAGUAAGUGAAUAAGGAAGAAAAUCCCAUGGCUCUGCCAACAAGAAACACUUCUGUCAACAUUUCACUGUGUUUGUUUUCCUGAGUAUUUUUUCCUCUACAUAAUUUAGCUUUGUUUUCCAUUCAUUAUGCUCACCCGUGCAGACACAGUUUUUAAUCUUGUUUCUUUUUUUUCACUUCACGUUGUUGACAUGUGUGUUUCUCUCUUCUAAGCAGCGUUUCAGCAUCUCUAUAAAACCCUCACAGGUAUGUGAACCAUAGAUCAUUUGAAUCGUCUAUUGUGCUUUUAGGCUGUUUUCAAUUUUUCUUUUUAUAAAUGAUGCAGCAGAGUAUCUUUAUGCAGAGACCGUUUCCAUACUUCCCCCUGUGCAGAAGGAAAAGUAGGCAGAAGAAAGAUUAACUUGGUCAAAGCUUUUAAAAUCUGAUUUAAUACUUCUUAAGAAUGAUGCACCUUAUGAAACAACUUUAUAUCUGUUGAAAAACCUAGUUCUUUUUUUAAUAUUGUUUUAAAAAAUGACUUGUUCUGAACAAUAUCCUGUGCCUUUCAGAAGACAGCGACGGAUAUGAAAGGAGAUUUGUUCUCUCCAAGCUCUUAGGAGGCGAUCUGGCUCAGGAAACAGACACAUCAGAUCCGAGCAUGUAUCUGAUGGUUGCUAUGGGAACAAGUCAUUUAACAGCCACUCAGCUAAAGCAUUGAUCAAUAAGGAAGGGGGCAGGAGGGAAAUAAAUUAGUUGGUGUCUGAAUAGCCCUGAGAGAGAGCAAUAAUGCGUCCCCUUCCCAUGGCAGGGGCCCGGGCAGGAGGCAGGGGCGAAGUCUCGUCCAUCCACGCUGGGAUGUGUGGGGUAGGAGGGCAGAGGGGGCAGAGAACAGAAUCAUAUUGGGGUGAGAAACCUGCUCCCCAAACCAGAUAUGGGGCAAGUGAGGCCUUAGACAAGGCUGGGGGCAGGGCUCCCAGGGAUGGGGGCACGGCUGGUCCCGCUUCUCCACGCUCCUGUGAUGUGCUUGCCGGGCCUGCUGGGAUACCCUGUGGCACCCCAUCGCUCUAGUGGGGAGUUCCGGUCUAGAGAGGAGCCGUGACUCCUUCCAGGCACAUGGUCAACCCCACUUGUCUUCUGGGGGCUCCCAGCCUGGCAGGGGAGAAAGGCAAAGGCCCUCACGGGGUCGUUCAUUGAUUCAUCCACAAAUACUUCCUGAGCCUGUCUGAGGGACCAUGCUCAGGCCUGGGCAGACAGCAGAGACCCAAGGAAAGAACAGAACUUGGGCUCUGGGGCCAAAUCGUGGCUCGGCCACUUGGCAGGCUCUUCACCUGUAACGUGUUGAGAAAGUGACGUAAAGUCAGAGCCAGGAGUGGGCAUCCUGAGUGCUCAGCUGCCAUUGCUGGGACUCAUAAUCGCAAGGGAAGGCAGAGACAGAAGUGAGGGUUCCUAAGUGGAAGGUACUCAUAAAGCCUUGGCUGAAUACGUAUGGCUGACACAGGGGUGUCUGUGUUUGCCACCAAAGGGUGGCCCUGGGCUGGGAUUACACACGGAGAGAAGGCGGGAGGAAAGUCAGGGAGCCUCAGACCAUUGGAGGCUGCAUCUAUUGACCUCUGAUCCCCACAGGCAUGGGUGUGGGUGUGGGUGUGGGUGUGGCUGGCUCAAGGGUCAGUGCCCACCAGAGAACUGGACCAUAGAUGAGCUGGACUUUUCCAACCCUGCCAGCCUGGGCCAUCUCAAGGGUGCUAUUGGUUGUGAGGGGAGGAGGCCCUCUUUUCUGAGUCCCUCCCCAGAUGAGUGCAAGCUGGGACACAUAUACGAGAAGGAUCCUAAUAACAUGCAUGCCAAAAUCCUGCUGUCCCAGCCUUUGGUUCCAGCAGUUUGACUUCUGGAAGUCUUUCCCAAGGAAAUAACCUUGAACCCACGGUGUCUGCUGUAGCAUUCUUCAUAAGAGUGACUGCAAACAACCUCUAAGCCCCAAAUCAUGUAUUGGUUAAAAAAAUAAUGAUUCCUUUUCUUGCUUUAACUCAGGUGAUCCCUAGAAACACAGCCAGUGGCCCGGAAGCUGCACUGUUUUGUGCACCGCAGGGAUGGGCACAGAUGGGGCUGCCUGCCCUCCUCCUGGAAGGAGGGAGAACCCAGUCUGGCCUGGAGUGGUCAAGAGCUAACUCUAGACUCAGCAAGACCUACUUCUCUCUCCUGCCCCUACUUCCUUGCUGCUGACCUGGGCAAGUCGCUGAAGCCUCUCCGUGCCUCAGUCUGCUCGUGCGUAAGAUGGGCACAGGGCACACUGCCUACUUGAUUGGGCUCAACCACGUGCAGUAAGUAGCUGGUGUCUGGCAAGAGCCCUCAGGAAACAGUAACCCCAUUAAUUCAAAUGCACGUGCCUGGAACAGGCUCUGGGGGGCCAGCCCGGGAGUCCCACUCCAUGAUGGCCACCCUGGGGCCUGGCAGGCUGGGCUGGCAUCCCAGGCCCACCGGAUACUGGCUGUGCACCCCGGCCAGGCCACACAUCUCUGAGCCUCACUUUCCCGUGUGUGAGAUGAGGCUAGAAGCUGCUUUCUCUUGCGUGUGUGGGGAUUGGCGGUGACAACACGGCCAGGAGCCCAGGCCCAGCCUACGCGAGCAGCCUCGCUCCAGGCCACACGCCCCACUCCUGACAGCUCUGUGCAGCGAGUUCGUGCGCGAGCGGGUGGCUGUCUGCCAGGCGAGGGGCGCGGGUGCCCAAGAGGGCUUCACUGCUUCUGGAAAGAUCACAAGGAAAAACCACCUCCGCGGCGGGACGCUACCCGCGGGCCGCUGCGGUCCCGCUCGCGGCCGGCAGGGGGCAGGAUGUCCCCGCGAGUCGCCCGUGUCUUCGGGUGUCCUCAGGUCACCCCGCACCGCUCGCAGCCUCCGCGCCUAGUUAAAGGGCGACGCACUCAUUUCUGCAAAGAAGGAGCCCAGCGGCCCCUCCCCGGGGAACUCUUUCCAUCAACUCGGGGCCUAAUAAUUUACAUUUAAUUUGUUAGCGGUUUAAUGUUUAAUUUUAAAAGCGAGAUGAUUCAUUACCAUAUUAAUAAAUAAUAACAUUUAUUAUUCUCCUAAUGAGUGUCCAAAAUACAGAAGCAAUUACAUGUUUUAUAUAUUUUCUCGUAAUUUGAGACACCAGAGCGUUAAUUACAGAGACUCACGCGUGGACCCCAUUCUGAUCCAGGGUCCUGAUCCUGCCUUUGUUUCGGUCUCUGAACCAGCCGCCCUCCGGGGCUUCUGCAAUUCCCUCAAUUAGAGGAGAGGAAGUCGUACGUGACGAAGCUGGGGCUCUCACAGAACCCCGGCGCCCCAGACCCAGGAGCUGCAAGACCUCAGCUCCCCGUGCCCACACUCGGAGACCCAGGCCCCUCCCAGUCCCCCGU